AGAGUUUGAUCAUGGCUCAGAUUGAACGCUGGCGGCAGGCCUAACACAUGCAAGUCGAACGGUAACAGGAAGCAGCUUGCUGCUUUGCUGACGAGUGGCGGACGGGUGAGUAAUGUCUGGGAAACUGCCUGAUGGAGGGGGAUAACUACUGGAAACGGUGGCUAAUACCGCAUAACGUCGCAAGACCAAAGAGGGGGACCUUCGGGCCUCUUGCCAUCAGAUGUGCCCAGAUGGGAUUAGCUUGUUGGUGAGGUAACGGCUCACCAAGGCGACGAUCCCUAGCUGGUCUGAGAGGAUGACCAGCCACACUGGAACUGAGACACGGUCCAGACUCCUACGGGAGGCAGCAGUGGGGAAUAUUGCACAAUGGGCGCAAGCCUGAUGCAGCCAUGCCGCGUGUAUGAAGAAGGCCUUCGGGUUGUAAAGUACUUUCAGCGGGGAGGAAGGUGUUGUGGUUAAUAACCACAGCAAUUGACGUUACCCGCAGAAGAAGCACCGGCUAACUCCGUGCCAGCAGCCGCGGUAAUACGGAGGGUGCAAGCGUUAAUCGGAAUUACUGGGCGUAAAGCGCACGCAGGCGGUCUGUCAAGUCGGAUGUGAAAUCCCCGGGCUCAACCUGGGAACUGCAUUCGAAACUGGCAGGCUUGAGUCUUGUAGAGGGGGGUAGAAUUCCAGGUGUAGCGGUGAAAUGCGUAGAGAUCUGGAGGAAUACCGGUGGCGAAGGCGGCCCCCUGGACAAAGACUGACGCUCAGGUGCGAAAGCGUGGGGAGCAAACAGGAUUAGAUACCCUGGUAGUCCACGCCGUAAACGAUGUCUACUUGGAGGUUGUGCCCUUGAGGCGUGGCUUCCGGAGCUAACGCGUUAAGUAGACCGCCUGGGGAGUACGGCCGCAAGGUUAAAACUCAAAUGAAUUGACGGGGGCCCGCACAAGCGGUGGAGCAUGUGGUUUAAUUCGAUGCAACGCGAAGAACCUUACCUGGUCUUGACAUCCACGGAAGUUUUCAGAGAUGAGAAUGUGCCUUCGGGAACCGUGAGACAGGUGCUGCAUGGCUGUCGUCAGCUCGUGUUGUGAAAUGUUGGGUUAAGUCCCGCAACGAGCGCAACCCUUAUCCUUUGUUGCCAGCGGUCCGGCCGGGAACUCAAAGGAGACUGCCAGUGAUAAACUGGAGGAAGGUGGGGAUGACGUCAAGUCAUCAUGGCCCUUACGACCAGGGCUACACACGUGCUACAAUGGCGCAUACAAAGAGAAGCGACCUCGCGAGAGCAAGCGGACCUCAUAAAGUGCGUCGUAGUCCGGAUUGGAGUCUGCAACUCGACUCCAUGAAGUCGGAAUCGCUAGUAAUCGUGGAUCAGAAUGCCACGGUGAAUACGUUCCCGGGCCUUGUACACACCGCCCGUCACACCAUGGGAGUGGGUUGCAAAAGAAGUAGGUAGCUUAACCUUCGGGAGGGCGCUUACCACUUUGUGAUUCAUGACUGGGGUGAAGUCGUAACAAGGUAACCGUAGGGGAACCUGCGGUUGGAUCACCUCCUU
rnacentral:rRNA from 1 species